rnacentral:lncRNA from 1 species
CCUCGGCAGGGCUGGCUCCUCGCCUCUCCACGCCAGGCUGUUCACGUCCCUUCCGUUCCCAAGUGCUUGUGUGCUCACUCACUUGCACCGUCCUGCAGUGGCCCACGAGGCAGGCCAGCGUGUGUAUUAGGGAGCGCUCCCUGGGAAUGUGACUUUCCCAAGGUCACCUGGAUAGGCUGUCUCCUCCUCUGAGGUCCCCACCUCCAAACCCCACUUUCCCCACAUGUGGCCUGAACAGACCAUCACAAAGCUUUAGAGGCUUCUUCCGAGGACACCAGGCAUUGGCUCUGGGUCAGUGGAGCUUCCAGAACCUUGGAAUUCUGCCCUGGGCCACGUGUCUGGAACUUGCCCAUCUCCUGGUGGUUGGCAGAUCUGAUGCAGGCCUGAGAACGUCUUCACACGGUGGAGGAGGCUUUUGGGGUGACUGACCACUGGGCUGGACAUUGCCCCAGGUGUGGUUCCCGUGGAAGUGGUGAGUCACAGCCGUGGUUGCUGGCCUGCUGCUGUACCCAUCUGCCUGUCUGCAGGCGUCUCACUUCCUCCUGAGAUGGAGAGAGACAAGGGCCCUGGGUGCUGGGGCACCAGCUGCUUCGGCCCUGCCUGGUUACUUCAUCUUCCUCAACUCACUUUGCUGUUCACCACCCAUCACCGUUACCACCUGGAAUCACCCGGAGAAGAGUGGAAGGAAACGUGAAAAGUAUGUGUGUCAUCACGUCAGGCUCUGGGGCUGCCCAGGGCCUCUUGGUGAUGGAAGUGGAAUUGCCUGGAUGUCAUUCUGUACUUAGCUACAAAGAAAAAAAGAACCCUGGAAUGUUCCAGAGAAGAGGGGCACAUCUCACUGAGAUGAAGAUUACGGCAUCCUCGCUGAGAAGGAAUCUCCAGGGAUGGAUGACUGGAGAAUCAGAAGUAGGGAGAGCUGGGGACUUACUUGUCCUUCUUGGCGGCUGAUCUUUAAGUGUGUUUGGCUUGUGUUUCUGGAGAGUAAGACAUAAGAAGAAAGGAGGGGAGGGAGAGUUAGUUCUUGAGAGAACUAGAGGCUCGAGCAAUCACUCUUGAGCUGUUGAUGCUGCGGGCCGUUUCUUUACAGUUAGUCCAUAAGAGAAGCCGG